UGGGGCGUAGCCAAGCGGUAAGGCACUGGUUUUUGGUACCAGCAAUCCCAGGUUCGAAUCCUGGCGCCCCAGCCA
rnacentral:tRNA from 1 species